rnacentral:rRNA from 1 species
CCUACGGGUGGCAGCAGUGAGGAAUAUUGGUCAAUGGGAGAGAUCCUGAACCAGCCAAGCCGCGUGAGGGAAGACGGCCCUAUGGGUUGUAAACCUCUUUUGUCGGAGAACAAAACCCGGGACGUGUCCCGGACUGCGUGUAUCCGAAGAAAAAGCAUCGGCUAACUCCGUGCAAGCAGCCGCGGUAAUACGGAGGAUGCGAGUGUUAACCGGGUUUAUUGGGUUAAAGGGGUGCGUAGUCGGUCCGUUAAGUCCGCGGUAAAAUUGCGGGGCUCAACCCCGUCGAGCCGUUGAAACUGGCAGACUGGAGUGGGCGAGAAGUACGCGGAAUGCGCGGUGUAGCGGUGAAAUGCAUAGAUAUCGCGCAGAACUCCGAUUGCGAAGGCAGCGUACCGGCGCCAGACUGACGCUGAGGCACGAAAGCGUGGGGAUCGAACAGGAUUAGAUACCCCUGUAGUC